GUGCAGCCAAUUGAGCCAACUAUGCUCUUUGCCCUGUAAGCCCCAUAUGCAGUAGCUGAGAUGGCAGCAGCCUUCCUGGUUAAUGAAGUCACCUGUGGCUUGUAUGGUCUGCAAAAAGAAACUUCGGAGACAAAC